AUUGGCGAUUCUUGUUUCACAAUGCUUCCUAAUGGCAAAAAACAUGUUUGUCAAAGUGUACCUCUGGAUGUACUUGGUAGCUUUCCAGAGAAUGUAAUUGAUGAUAUUCUUAUAUGUUUGCCUUUACGAGAUGCUGUGAGGACAAGCAUCUUAUCCACAAAAUGGAGAUAUAAAUGGUGCAGAAUUCCUCAUUUGAAACUUGAUCAAACACUUUGGGGAACAACAAAGGACUUGAUACCUCUUACAAUCAAAUUUACUGACAUUAUUUAUCAUCUUUUGACCUCUCAUGCCGGACCAUUCCUAAGAUUGACAAGUUGAUAUAUUACCUCUCUAAGAAUGGCAUUCAAUAUCUUGAUCUUACAUUCUCCUAUUAUAACCAAUACAAAUUGUCUUCUUCAGUUUUCACAUGUUUGCAAUUGAUGCAUCUAUCUCUCCAAUAUUGCUCAAUACAACUUACUCCUCGAGCCUUCAAAGGAUUUUAUAGGUUAAUUAGCCUGGAAUUAUGUAGCAUCACAAUUUCUUCCAAAUUCCUUGAAAGUUUAAUAUCUAAUUGCCCUUUGCUCGAUCAGUUGGGGCUGAAUCAUAAUGUUUACUCCAAUGUCAUUGAAAUUAAUGCUCCCAUGCUGCGAGCCUUUGACUUCGCCGAAGCUGAAGGAUCUAUAUGUUUAAAAAGUGUCCCUCAUCUUGCAAAACUUUCACUUUGUCAUAAAAAUUAUCAUGUGGGGUCAAGAAAUUGAUUUGAGUCUUUCUAUUAUCUUGAAUAUCUCGAAUUGAUAGGCCAUAGUCUCAAGGUAAAUGUGCUUUAUCACUUCAUUCAGCAUUUUCAUAGAUGGAAUAUGUUUUGGGGUUUGAGUAAUUUUGUAUUUUCUUCCUAGUUCUUGGUUGCAGCAGCACGUGAAGUACCAUCAAGGCUUCCCUUUGAUCUUAACUGUCUCAAGCGUCUUUGCUUAGAAGAUAUUUAUCUGGGGGAAUUGGAUGCGGUCUUGUGUGUUCUUUGCUUGAUUAGAAGCUCCAAAUAUUUACAAUAUUUGGAAAUCCAGAUGCAUGAUGAAGAUGAUGAUAUUCCAACACUACGAUGCCUUGAAUUGGAAGCUUUCGCAGAUGUGGCAUUUAGUCACCUUAGGAAAGUUAAGCUAAGGUGUACUACAGGCUCAGACCCUGAGAUGCAACUUAUCAAGCUUUUGUUGGCCAAAUCUCCCAUGCUAGAGACUGCUAAUCUUUACCUUGUUAGAUUAUGAUCAUGCUAGUGAAACAAUCAAAAACAAAAUCCCUGUUGUGCUAAAUUCGUUUCGGCGUGCAUCACCUGAAGUAGAAUUUGUUUAUGAUUUUUGCUGACUAAUUUGUUUUGUUAUGAAUUUGUUAUUACGAUGCUAAGGGAUUUUACAUUUAGUGCAUGUUCUUGACUGAUCUAUGAAAUGAGACUUGCGAAAUGAAUUAA